UGGUUUCAUUUUAUUUAUUUCUUAUCAUACGAUUUAAACACAUUACAGCACUGAAAACUUCUACUACUUGUAGGAAGGCACAUUCAAGCUAUAGUUUUAUCUGAUUUUGAUCAGAAACUGG